CUGAAAGAGAAAACAAACCACCUCAUCGGAGCUUGCCGGGACAAGGAGUCCAAGAUCAAGGAGUUGUUGAAGAAGCUGGAGCAGCUUUCAGAGGAAGUCCUGGAAGUCCGUGCAGAGAAUACCCACCUUGUCCUACAGCUGCAGGAUACCCAGAAGAACCAUGAAGAGAUCAUCUCCACUUACAGAAAUCAUCUACUGAAUGCUGCCCGGGGCUACAUGGAACAAGACGUCUACAACAUCCUACUUCGAAUCCUCAGCGUGCAGGAGUGAGGCAGGCUCCUAGCGACCGUCAGGGAUAAAGGCAUUUCCCUUUUGGAGUAAUGAGGCUCCAUCAAGCUGUGGUGGGCAGGCAGGUGGGUGGUGAUUACCCACUGGUGUUGCUGUGGGCUUCACGGGACCCAGGGACUCCAGUCCUGAAAACCUGGACCCUGGAGUCAGCACAGAUGAGACCAGAAUUGUGGAU
rnacentral:lncRNA from 1 species